rnacentral:rRNA from 1 species
GUGCAAGGUUAAGCAGAAGAUGCGGAGCCGCAGCGAAAGCGAGUCUGAAUAGGGCGCAUGAGUACGUGGUCGUAGACCCGAAACCAGGUGAUCUACCCAUGUCCAGGGUGAAGUUCAGGUAACACUGAAUGGAGGCCCGAACCCACGCACGUUGAAAAGUGCGGGGAUGAGGUGUGGGUAGGGGUGAAAUGCCAAUCGAACCUGGAGAUAGCUGGUUCUCUCCGAAAUAGCUUUAGGGCUAGCCUCAAGGUAAGAGUCUCGGAGGUAGAGCACUGAUUGGACUAGGGGCCCCUACCGGGUUACCGAAUUCAGUCAAACUCCGAAUGCCGAUGACUUAUCCUUGGGAGUCAGACUGCGAGUGAUAAGAUCCGUAGUCGAAAGGGAAACAGCCCAGACCGCCAGCUAAGGUCCCAAAGUAUACGUUAAGUGGAAAAGGAUGUGGAGUUGCUUAGACAACCAGGAUGUUGGCUUAGAAGCAGCCACCAUUUAAAG